rnacentral:rRNA from 1 species
GACGUAGGGGGCCAGCGUUGUUCGGAAUUACUGGGUGUAAAGGGUUCGUAGGCGGUGUAGCAAGUCGGGAGUGAAAUCUCUGGGCUUAACCCAGAGGCUGCUUCCGAAACUGCUGUGCUUGAGUGUGGGAGAGGCGCGUGGAAUUGCAGGUGUAGCGGUGAAAUGCGUAGAUAUCUGCAGGAACACCCGUGGCGAAAGCGGCGCGCUGGACCACUACUGACGCUGAGGAACGAAGGUCAGGGGAGCAAACGGG